rnacentral:rRNA from 2 species
CUAUCGUUAACUGAAUACAUAGGUUAACGAGGCGAACCGGGGGAACUGAAACAUCUAAGUACCCCGAGGAAAAGAAAUCAACCGAGAUUCCCCCAGUAGCGGCGAGCGAACGGGGAGCAGCCCGGAGUCUGAAUCAGCUUGUGUGUUAGUGGAACGGUCUGGAAAGUCCGACGGUACAGGGUGAUAGUCCCGUACACGAAAGCACACUUGCUGUGAACUCGAAGAGUAGGGCGGGACACGUGGUAUCCUGUCUGAAUAUGGGGGGACCAUCCUCCAAGGCUAAAUACUCCUGACUGACCGAUAGUGAACCAGUACCGUGAGGGAAAGGCGAAAAGAACCCCGGCGAGGGGAGUGAAAAAGAACCUGAAACCGUGUACGUACAAGCAGUGGGAGCCUCUUUAUGGGGUGACUGCGUACCUUUUGUAUAAUGGGUCAGCGACUUAUAUUCUGUAGCAAGGUUAACCGUAUAGGGGAGCCGAAGGGAAACCGAGUCUUAACUGGGCGUUAAGUUGCAGGGUAUAGACCCGAAACCCGGUGAUCUAGCCAUGGGCAGGUUGAAGGUUGGGUAACACUAACUGGAGGACCGAACCGACUAAUGUUGAAAAAUUAGCGGAUGACCUGUGGCUGGGGGUGAAAGGCCAAUCAAACCGGGAGAUAGCUGGUUCUCCCCGAAAGCUAUUUAGGUAGCGCCUCGUGAACUCAUCUUCGGGGGUAGAGCACUGUUUCGGCUAGGGGGCCAUCCCGGCUUACCAACCCGAUGCAAACUACGAAUACCGAAGAAUGUUAUCACGGGAGACACACGGCGGGUGCUAACGUCCGUCGUGAAGAGGGAAACAACCCAGACCGCCAGCUAAGGUCCCAAAGUCAUGGUUAAGUGGGAAACGAUGUGGGAAGGCACAGACAGCCAGGAUGUUGGCUUAGAAGCAGCCAUCAUUUAAAGAAAGCGUAAUAGCUCACUGGUCGAGUCGGCCUGCGCGGAAGAUGUAACGGGGCUAAACCAUGCACCGAAGCUGCGGCAGCGACGCUUAUGCGUUGUUGGGUAGGGGAGCGUUCUGUAAGCCGUUGAAGGUGUCCUGUGAGGGGUGCUGGAGGUAUCAGAAGUGCGAAUGCUGACAUAAGUAACGAUAAAGCGGGUGAAAAGCCCGCUCGCCGGAAGACCAAGGGUUCCUGUCCAACGUUAAUCGGGGCAGGGUGAGUCGACCCCUAAGGCGAGGCCGAAAGGCGUAGUCGAUGGGAAACAGGUUAAUAUUCCUGUACUUGGUGUUACUGCGAAGGGGGGACGGAGAAGGCUAUGUCAGCCGGGCGACGGUUGUCCCGGUUUAAGCAUGUAGGCGGAGGUUCCAGGUAAAUCCGGUACCUUGUUAACGCUGAGGUGUGAUGACGAGGCACUACGGUGCUGAAGUGAUAAAUGCCCUGCUUCCAGGAAAAGCCUCUAAGCAUCAGGUAACACGAAAUCGUACCCCAAACCGACACAGGUGGUCAGGUAGAGAAUACCAAGGCGCUUGAGAGAACUCGGGUGAAGGAACUAGGCAAAAUGGUGCCGUAACUUCGGGAGAAGGCACGCUGAUAUGUAGGUGAAGUCCCUGCGGACGGAGCUGAAAUCAGUCGAAGAUACCAGCUGGCUGCAACUGUUUAUUAAAAACACAGCACUGUGCAAACACGAAAGUGGACGUAUACGGUGUGACGCCUGCCCGGUGCCGGAAGGUUAAUUGAUGGGGUUAGCGGCAACGCGAAGCUCUUGAUCGAAGCCCCGGUAAACGGCGGCCGUAACUAUAACGGUCCUAAGGUAGCGAAAUUCCUUGUCGGGUAAGUUCCGACCUGCACGAAUGGCGUAAUGAUGGCCAGGCUGUCUCCACCCGAGACUCAGUGAAAUUGAACUCGCUGUGAAGAUGCAGUGUACCCGCGGCAAGACGGAAAGACCCCGUGAACCUUUACUAUAGCUUGACACUGAACACUGGUCCUUGAUGUGUAGGAUAGGUGGGAGGCUUUGAAGCGUGGACGCCAGUCUGCGUGGAGCCAACCUUGAAAUACCACCCUUUAAUGGCUGGUGUUCUAACGUAGACCCGUGAUCCGGGUUGCGGACAGUGUCUGGUGGGUAGUUUGACUGGGGCGGUCUCCUCCCAAAGAGUAACGGAGGAGCACGAAGGUUGGCUAAUCCUGGUCGGACAUCAGGAGGUUAGUGCAAUGGCAUAAGCCAGCUUGACUGCGAGCGUGACGGCGCGAGCAGGUGCGAAAGCAGGUCAUAGUGAUCCGGUGGUUCUGAAUGGAAGGGCCAUCGCUCAACGGAUAAAAGGUACUCCGGGGAUAACAGGCUGAUACCGCCCAAGAGUUCAUAUCGACGGCGGUGUUUGGCACCUCGAUGUCGGCUCAUCACAUCCUGGGGCUGAAGUAGGUCCCAAGGGUAUGGCUGUUCGCCAUUUAAAGUGGUACGCGAGCUGGGUUUAGAACGUCGUGAGACAGUUCGGUCCCUAUCUGCCGUGGGCGCUGGAGAAUUGAGGGGGGCUGCUCCUAGUACGAGAGGACCGGAGUGGACGCAUCACUGGUGUUCGGGUUGUCAUGCCAAUGGCACUGCCCGGUAGCUAAAUGCGGAAAAGAUAAGUGCUGAAAGCAUCUAAGCACGAAACUUGCCCCGAGAUGAGUUCUCCCUGAGACUUUAAGUCUCCUGAAGGAACGUUGAAGACGACGACGUUGAUAGGUCGGGUGUGUAAGCGCAGCGAUGCGUUGAGCUAACCGAUACUAAUGAACCGUGAGGCUUAACCUU